rnacentral:rRNA from 1 species
UACGUAGGGGGCGAGCGUUGUCCGGAGUUACUGGGCGUAAAGGGCAUGCAGGCGGUCGGACGCGUUUCGGGUGACAGCGGGUGGCUUAACUACCCGAGUGGUCGAAAGACGGUUUGACUUGAGGACGCGAGAGGGACACGGAAUUCCGGGGUGGAGUGGUGAAAUGCGUAGAGAUCCGGAGGAACACCGAAGGCGAAGGCAGCUACCUGGACCAGCACUGACACUGAGGCACGAAAGCGUGGGGAGCAAACAGG